rfam:Halobacillus sp. BBL2006 cont514, whole genome shotgun sequence.
AACAAAUGAAGUUCGACUAAGAACGCAACGUCCUGUUGCAACGUCGAACUGACCCUCGUCGUGAGGG